rnacentral:lncRNA from 1 species
AUGGCUCCGCGCAAAGGUCAGGCUGGGUGCCCAGGUGGUGGUCCCCGCACUUGGGGAGUGUCGCACCCCAGGCCCCCGGCCGCGACACCUGCCAUCCCCCGCCGCAGGCUUCCGAGCCCCAGGGGCGCGGAGCGCGCUCAGCCCGCACUCGCGCAGCGCCUUUUGCGAAUGAGCGGCGAGGGGAGGAGGGGGGGUGGUUUUCCUGUUGUGUCCUCUUGCUCUAUCGUCCACGAUCACGCAGCCAGAAGACGCCAAGGGGAGUUUGUUCAACUCCCGCCAACAACCGCCGUUCGGGUUACGACUCAUUUACUCCUCGAAACUCUGCGUUCCCGGGUGCACAGGAGCGGAGAAGCCUUUGUUCGGCUGACAAAGACCUGGACGCCCGCCUGCCAGGACAGUCCAGGAGGAGUGGGGUCCCCGCACCCCUCUACAGGGACCCCUCACAACCGAGCCUGCUCGGCCGGGUCUCAGGCUGCUGGCCUGGGACAUGACGAUGACCUGUCCACCCUGCUGACUUCAUCGUGGACUGAAGCCCAGAUUCUGCAGAAGGAGAACCGUCCUAGCCUAUGAGGUUCGCCCGGGGUGGGUCAGACAGGAUGUGGGUGAGUGCAGUGGUCCUGACCAUUCCCCUUGGAGCAGUGGGGCCCCCCUAAGACAGCACUUUGCACCUUGGUAGCUUUCAAUUAUUGAUGUCAUCAGAGAAUCUCAGUUGGGGAGUUUCAGAGCUGGGGUGGUUAGAGGGAGGGUGAGGUGGGGUCUUGUGGGUGAAGCCAUCUAGACUCCAGGGUUUCGGUGUCUGUGACCAACAGGUUUUAUUAAGUUCCUGCCAUGGGUCCAAUAUUACACUUGGCACACUGUGGAGGGGGGGUGCAGGGUGAUGGGGGGAAGCCCCCAUGCUUGUUCCAGCUUCUGUGUUCCCAGAGGAGGUGCCCCCCACCCCCACGAGCCUCCUAGUCACAACUGGACACAAACAGCCCCACCAUCUGCCCGGAACCGCCCUGACAGGCCUGCCUGCGUCGCGCAUCCGCGGCUUCUUCUCGUGUCUGGCCCGGUGAAGCGGCAGCUGCCCGGCUGCAGCGUUGCCUGUGCGUACCGGUGAGUGAGGGACUGGUGAGGGGCCGGUGUUUCU